rnacentral:lncRNA from 1 species
UGAGAAGUGGGGUUUGGGAAAGAGGUGAAGUCGGUUUUUGAGCCUCGUAAAACGUGUAGAAAAUAGCUGAGUUGGUUUUGGGUUUGACAGGGAUAUAACCUGAAUUUGUGGGGAGAGCUUCGUUUGGGAAAAUAGAGGUGGGUGUUGAUGAUGUAGCUGAAGGAUGGUGGAGGAAGAGGAAGAGGAGGAAGAGGAAGAGGACUGUUGUUGACUCCAUUAGCGAAGGAGGACUGAGUUAGCGGAGAAUUGUUGAUCUUUUGUUGUUUAGGUUUGUCUGAUCUGGUGGCUUUGAUAGUUGUGACCAAAGAAUCUUCGGUCCCGCGUGGAGGGAGAAGUACGACGACAAUAAUGUCUUGAACAAAGCUGAUUAAUUGUAAAGAGCAUCUCCGAGGGAAAGAUGCUAUUUUGAAGAGUAAAAUAGUAUUUUGAAUUCAAUAAAUAUGGUUUUUUUUAAAAAAAAAGUUAUUUUAAAGAAUAAUUGUAUUAAAAUGAAAGAAAGAACUAUUUUAUUUUUUAAAUGAUUUUGUUUUUUUUUAACAUAGUUAUAUUUAAUUGGUUUAUUUUUUGUUGGCUUUAAUUUGUUGGUUUUGAUUUUUUAAAAAAAUAUAUAUAAAUAACAUUUUUAAAAGAGAAAAAGUAUUUUAACAUUUUAUUUAGUUUUUUUUUUUCGGAGCAUGUAAAAUUAUUAUUAAAAAUUUUUUAUUUUUAUUUUUUAUUUAGCACACCCCUUGUACUUGCUCAAGGAGUGAUUAGCUUUUGCUUUUAAAAUGCUAGAGAUUAACGUUAACACCAAAUAUAUUGGUCUGAGAUAUCCAUGAUUUUUUUAUGAUCGUUAUUAAAUAUUUUUUCAUAGAAUUUUAAGAAUGCAUAUCUGGUAUAUAUUCCACUAAUACUUUUUUUGGAAAUAAUUUUAAAAGCCAGCUGUAUUGCCAGUUAUUUCAUUAAUUGCAUUAAAUUUUAUUAGUUAACUGGAUCAAUUAUUUAUAUAUUUAACCAAUAAGAAUAUUUUAAUAACAUGUUUUUCCUUAUAAUUGUUUUAUGAAUUUUAGACUUAUACAACUUUUUUAUACAUACUAUCUUCUAUGAUGUAUUUCGCAAAUUAUUUUAGAGACUUGAUCGAAAUCAAGUAUAUAGUUGGAAAACUUAUUUGUAGUCUCUAUUUUCUAAGUUUAGUAUCCAAUUUAUCAAUAUUAUACUCCAUGUUUUCACAUUUUACUCUAAUUUAUUUUCCCUUGUUUUUUCUUUUCUUCUCGGUAGUCAAAUCUUCUUUUUUUAUUAGUUGCAUCUUUUGUAGCCAGACCUGUAUAUUUAAGCUUUUUUUUCAUUUAUAUUUUUAAUAUUUUUUUCUUUUUAAUUUUAUCAUUAAAUGUUAUGCUUUUAUUGAUUUCUUGUAUUGCUAUUAUUUUUUUAUGGUUUAGCAUAUUUUUAACAAUUCUUUAUGAUUUUUUUAAUGUAACAUAAAUUAAUUUUUUCUUAGUUUACAAAUAAGAUUUUAAUUUUUUAAUAUUGGGAGGCAUUUUUUUUUGUGUAGCCCUACUCAAAAAAUAAAAAUUCUUUGAUUUUGUUCAAUCACUUCUCUAAAGUAUUUUAUUAUUGUUUCAUUAAAUAAAAUUUUAGUUCUAAUAAACAAAUUUAUUACAUAUAAUUGAGUUUAUAAACCAUGUUUAAAGAUCAAAUAUUUAUUUUUACAUUCAUUUUUAAACUUUUUCAAUUUGGUUAAAUAUUAUAUAAUUUUUACUUGAUUUUCCCAUAAAAUGAUAAUACUUUUUUCUAACAUGUGCAUUCUUGCAUGAUAUUUUUUAUUUAAUUUUAUCCAAUCACUUUUCAUAUGUGUAUUUAUUUCUAUUAUCAUUUUAUUAGGUAAAAAAUUAACUAAUAAAUAAAGUUAUUAAACACAAUUAGUAACAUGAUCCAUGUUGCAAGAUUAAAUAUUUUAAACUAUAUAUAUCUUUUAAUUUUUCUAGUCUAGAUUUAAGUUAUCAUCAACAAUUUUUUUGAAAACCAAAUCUAAUUUUAUAUUUUGAAAUUUUAAGUGUAUUAACUAGUUUUAUUGAACAAAUAAAAAAUAAAAUAAAUUAUAAUUAACGUUUUGAAACUCACGUUUUGCUGUUCAAGAAAAAAAAAAUCCACCCCCCCUGCUUUUUACAUAUACACCACGCAUCUCGACUAGGGUUUGGAGGGCAAUUCUGUUCAAGCGAAAACGUGGGUAGUGCUAGCGGCGUCUAGGGUUUGAGUCAUCGCAUCAAUUUCUUUUCGAUUUGAUAUUUUUUCUAAGAGGGCUGAGGCAAAAGGGGGGAGCAAGAUAUAUCUAUCAAUUUUAGAAUUGGAUGUUGCUAUGAGGAACGUUGGGGAAAUAUUUGGUUAUGUGGGGGAAACUUAGAUUUGGGAUGAAAUGAGCGUGUAGAUUUCUCAGGUCUCUGUAUAAUGCCAGCUAAGAAGGGAACAUGGAAUGUAAAUGAUGAAACCGUGAUUGCAAAUGGAGUUAUAGCCAGCUACAUUCUGGCCUUCAACUUUCAGUUGCUUGAUGGAGAAGAGAUACGUUCGGCAUUGUUAAAUAAGACCGUGGAUUGAUUGCCCCCUGGCUGGAUAUUCUUUCCACUUACCAGUGAAAGGGAAAUGUUGCACAAGCAGUAGGGACUUGGGAUGAAAUGAUUGAGUCAUGGAAUGAUUUGAAGUCUACAAAUGGAGUUGCAAAAUAGUCUUGAGGUUAAAAAUAUUCGGUGGAUGGAUCUUGCCUCUGAAAUUAUAAAAAUGAAGUGGUUUUCAAAAUCAAUAUGCUACUGAGCGAUGCUAUAGAGAUACCAUACCAGUUUAUGGUGAAUUUCCCAGGAACCUUGAGAUUUCAUAUGGUAAAAGGUGAAGUGUGUCUGAUGACAAUCUGUCGCGUCUACAGAAGCAUCUAUGGAUGGUAGAAUGGAUAGCGGAAAUUGGAUAAGAUGGUAUUUCAGUUUUAUCUCCUCUGAAUAACGUGUUAAUUUAAAUAAAAACAAGAUCCAGCAGAUACAAUCCCAUCAUGUUGUUCAAAUAAAAACAUCAUUUGGAUGGUGCGUGAUAGAUGAAAACGAAGCGUGGGAUUUGUUCAUUGCAAUGACACGAAAUCCUCCCCUUGCAACAGUAGCAGUAGUAGCAGCUUACUGAUUUCAGAGCUCCCCUUCCGCAUUAGCAAAGACCCCCCUUUCCAGGACCCAAUCCUCUAUCAUAGCCUGAGAAUUCACUGCUUGGUCAUUAGGCACAAGAUGCCCAGCCCCUAGCACCACAGCAUUGCUAAAACUCCUCCACUUCUGCACAUACCCAGCAAGCACACCAUUUACUUUCCACACCUUCCUCUCAGCCAUCAAAUAUUCCCCAAUCCCUUCCCAUUUCAUUGUCUUGACCCAAGCUUCUGUUGAAAACACUCCAUCUCUCAAAUCAAGAUGCCCUUGAUACAACAACACGUUACUCUUCUUAACCAAGAAUUCCACCAUAUACUUAACGCUCUUCAUUACAUCUGCAUGCAAUGCUUCCCCCACCGUGUCACUACAAUCCUCAAAAACUAUAGAUUCAUUUGCCUUCAAUGCAACCUUCACUUCGGCUAGUUGCAUCAAUUUAGUUACCAAUUUUGUUUUGUAGGGCACUUUCCUAGUGAAGUCAUUCAAAGUGGCUAGUCCUGUCAUGUGUCGCAACAAUUUCAAGACCCUACUUCUUGCAUCUGUUGCCUCACUCCAAUUUCCCAUUCUAACCAACUUAACUGCCUCCCUUUGAGCUUCUUCCAGUUCACCCUUUUGUCUCUCAUUGAUCAAUCCAGAAAAGUAAGCAUUCAGGGCAUGAGUUUUGACUUGUGUCACCGGAUCCGUUACCCCAUUACCUAUAGCAACACCUUUCAGAUUCACUUGUUUCGCCACAGGCAGCUUCGUAUUCUUCUUCAAAAUGUAAUACCCAAUUGCAGGAACAUACUUUCCUGCAUAACUCUCUCCGGUUAUAUAAAUCGGGCGAGUCUUGAACACUGGGUCUAGUUUAAUAAACUCAGAGAUGGCGGCGAAGAGAUGCUCAGCAACAGUGUGUUGAUCUCUUGGUAUCUCUUCAGGGCUCGAAGCGAUACUAAAUCCGGUCCCUAUUGGGUUAUCGAUGAAAAUGAGGCCAAAAAUACGGUUCCAGGAGCCUAAAUUGGGCUGAAGUGCAGGGUGUUCGUUGUCUUGCGAAUCGACAACGCGAUAAGGGCCAAGUUCAAGGAAGUUUCCAGUCAUGGAGGAGCAGCCAGGGCCACCUUGGAGCCAUAUGAGAAGUGGGGUUUGGGAAAGAGGUGAAGUUGGUUUUUGAGCCUCGUAAAACGUGUAGAAAAUAGCUGAGCUGGUUUUGGGUUUGACAGGGAUAUAACCUGAUUUUGUGGGGAGAGCUUCGUUUGGGAAAAUAGAGGUGGGUGUUGAUGAUGUGGCUGAAGGAUGGAGGAGGAAGAGGAAGAGGAGGAAGAGGAAAAUGACUGUUGUUGACUCCAUU